rnacentral:rRNA from 1 species
CCUACGGGAGGCAGCAGUGAGGAAUAUUGGUCAAUGGCCGGGAGACUGAACCAGCCAAGCCGCGUGAGGGAUGAAGGUCCAAAGUAUCGUAAACCUCUUUUGUCAGGGAACAAAGGCGGUGACGUGUCCCCGGAUGAGUGUACCUGAAGAAAAAGCAUCGGCUAACUCCGUGCCAGCAGCCGCGGUAAUACGGAGGAUGCGAGCGUUAUCCGGAUUUAUUGGGUUUAAAGGGUGCGCAGGCGGUGUUUAAAGUCAGCGGUCAAAGUCCGGGGCUCAACCCCGGACUGCCGUUGAAACUGGCAGUCUCGAGUUGGAGAGAAGUAUGCGGAAUGCGCGGUGUAGCGGUGAAAUGCAUAGAUAUCGCGCAGAACUCCGAUUGCGAAGGCAGCAUGCCGGUGCCACACUGACGCUGAGGCACGAAAGCGUGGGUAUCGAACAGGAUUAGAUACCCUAGUAGUC